rnacentral:rRNA from 1 species
GUCUAUGGCCAUGCUACCCUGAACAUACCCAGUCCCGUCUGAUCUCAAAAGCUAAGCAGGGUUAGUACUUGGAUGAGAGACCACCUAGGAAGACCAGGUGCUGUAAGCA